AGCCCUCUUCAAUACCUUCAUUUUGGCGGUGGUUUCACUUCGAUUGACCUCCUGAAACUGAAAUGGUUCACAGGUCAAGAUCUGGUCAGAUCUGACUUUGUUGAAUUAAACCAGGAGCUUGGGAACGAAUCUUUGAGUGAAACAAAUUGGGGGAUGUUUGGUUUAUACCAUGGUGAUAACCGAGAGAGGCAAUUGCUAAGUUGUGAUGCACUCAUACCUCUAGUAGAUGCGAACAAUUCCGGAGAAGAAGAAGAAGUGGAAUUGGACAAGGAUUUUAUUUAUAUUGUUGGGAUUCUUAUAUUGAUAGAGUUGAAGAAGUACAGGGACAAAUAAGCCAAG